CCUCAAGAUUGGACACCCCGUCAGCCGCAAGUUCAAUGUGCAUGAUAUGAUAAUAUCUUCACCACUGGUGGAGCCAGCUGUUGAGUCAUUCUGGGAAUCUGAAGACAACAGUUUUGAAUGUGUGUGCUCUGCUUCACCAGACUAGAAGAAGUACAUCAAAUUGAG